GGCGGUAGCUCAGUUGGCAGAGCAUUGGGACGGUACCCCACGGUCCUGGGUUCAAGCCUAGACGCUA